rfam:Salmo salar isolate Sally breed double haploid chromosome ssa16, whole genome shotgun sequence.
CCUACUUGAUCCUGUAAGUCACUCUGGAUAAGAGCGUCUGCUAAAUGACUCAAA